UGGAGCUACACUUAUCUGACGCCCUGCCUCCUUGGCAGCUGCCUUCUCUGCCCUCAAGAAAUGCCUGAGACUUGAUGGCUGAGUGCUGAUAAGGGGGGCUGAGGAGGCUCUGCUCACCUGCCUCCUCACACAAUGGAACCUGCAGUUUCUGCUCUGAGUCACUCAGGGAGGCACCCGCUCUCCUUGUGUUUUGUUGACCUCUCCCUCACAUGCAUUAAAAGCAGCAGGAGCCAAAAUAUAUAGCCGCCAGGCAGCUGGGAGAACUCAGCCGGGCUGUGGGAACAAGAUAUCUCUAGGGUUGUCAUGUGGAAGAGAAACAGACUGCUUCUGUGUGGCCUCAAAAGGCAAAACUAGACCAACGAGGAAAGCUUUGGGGAGAAAUAUUUCAACUCAACACAAGGCAGACCCCUCCGAGCUGGUCCUCAGGAACCUGAUGCCUAUGGACGAAGUGAAUUUGCUCCUGGUCACUAUUGGGAUCAGUGGAGGCUGGACCCUUUUCUCAAGGAUGCUGUAUAGAAAGGAUCUAUUCACUAGAUAAGGCAGAAUCACCUCAUCCUCUGCCAGAGCGACCAAUCCUCUGUGAGGCUCAUCGUUCCUGUGUAUCGGAUCCCAUCAAGUCACCGCCUCAUGUGUGCAUCCUCACGGCAGAUGAGGGCUCCCCGAGGAUCACCACAAUAGCCCGAUGGCGGAAGCAAGUCCAAUCUUCUCAUCAUGUGACAUUUGACCCAUGAGGGUACAGAGGCUCAGCAAGGUAAGGUCACUAGCCCAGGGCCACAGGAAUGGUUAAGUAGUGGUCAGGAUUUGAAACUAUGUCUUCAGGCUUUACCCCUGGGGCCCUAGCUGCUAAAUCAGCGUUCCUUUCCCAUAUGGAUUGGAAACUCCUACCCUAUGUAAAAUUCCAGCCAAAAUUUCCACCUUCUGCGGCCACAUAUAUUAAAACUAAUGUCUCUUCCUCAUUUCCGUAUUCCAAGGACCUUGGGGGCAGCUCUCCUGUCUCCUCUGAGUCAUACCCGUCUUCAGUUCUGUCUGUUCUUCCUCAGAUGGCAUUGUUCCGGGGCCACACACCAUUUUAGAAUCUUAGAAUUUCAGAAUUAGAAAAGAUCUUUAAAGGUCAUUUGGCCUAACCAGCUCCUGUCAGCCUUUUACAGACACCUUCUCAUCUCAAAACUAUGUCCUUCAACAAUGCCCCAGAGGGGGUGCUGGGGGCCGGAACAGGGUGAUAAAGGUGCCCUUCCCCCCACUGAGCCAGCGGACAUCUGCCAGGUUGCCUCAAUUCAAAGAGGGAAUGUCGAGGCUGCGAAGUGCAAGGCAGCGUGACUCAGCCUUUUCACGGGGACGUGGCGCACAAUGGAAAGAUCCGAGAGUUCCAAGGGAAAGAAAACCAGAAAGGCCAAGACGACCCACACACAGAGAAAGCCAGCUUAGAACAAACCCCAAGGGCCAACAAGAAACCAGUGGAAAAGCAAAAAAUCUCUCUCCUGAGAGGGCUCUAUUGUGUGCGCUCUGGGUCAAAAGAGGGGCUCCCCCACCUGCUGGGACUCUCCAGAAUGAGUUCUUUUUCUUCUGUCUGGGUUCAGCAAACUUCCUGCUUCCUCUGUCGCAGGGCGGGGAGCCCCUUCUGCAGCGGUCAGCCAGGGCGAUGGGGCUUGGCAGCGGUGAUGGCAGCUUGCUGGGCACUGGCACCAAGUUACUUAGCCAAUACCACAGCUUUGAUAAUUUCUUGCUUCCCUAGUCAUUUAGGAUUCUUUCCAUCUAUAUCAAGAAAAAGAAGUUACACUUCCUUCUGCCCACAAAUUCAGAUGCUUUUAUUUUGUGGAGGCCUCAUAGAAAGAGAUGCCUAUUUCUAAUAUCAACCCAUUGAGUGAUAUAUUUUAAACAGAUGGCAAGCAAAAUAUUUAAAAAGUCCCCUCCCCACCAAAACUUCAAUGAAAGCUUUGUUGAUAUAGACAUUCAAAAAGCAAAACUUUCUUCUGAUAGAAAUGGAAACACUUUAUGUUGGAAUCUCUUUUAACCAAAAUGGCUUAUAUACGUGAAAAACUCGAGUACAAAAACCUUACAAUUGGUUUCCCCUCCAAGUAAAAUCCUUUUGUGUUAAUAAAUGUGCCUCCAUUAUGUCCAAUUUUACGGAGCUCACAAAGAGAUCCUCUGAGAUCACAUACUUUCAUUUCUGGGAUUCCAUGAAAUCAUUUCAUACAAGGAAAGGAAUUCUUAUUAGAUAUGUAUGAACUGUAAACCUCGGCCUUCAGAAGUUUAUUUCGCUCCACCCCAUCUGACGUCAGAGCCCCUCUAAGGCUGUCCUGAGUUAACUGUGUGCCAGGCUGGUGCAUGCUAGGAAUUUGAAUAACAUUCUCCUUUAAUGCUCACAAUAGCCAUAUGAGAGAAGUGUAGUCUCCAUUUUCAAAGGAUGAAUCCAAGUUGAAAGGUCAAGAAAUUUGUCCAAGUUCACAGAGCUGGUUAACAGGAAAGCAGGGCAGAAAGACUCCUGAGGCCUUCUCCUUAGAUGGUCAACCAGCCACUGCUCAAAGCCCUCACUGGUCAGAAACUCACCUCCCUAGACAACCUGUUCCAGUUUGAGGCCAUUUUUGUUGUUUUAGAGAGUUCUUCCUUGUAGUGAGCUGAAGCCUGCCUCUGUGUGACAUCCAACAAUCAGUGUGAUUCCAUACUUGGGGCAGGAACCAGACCUGUCAUUGAGGAUGUCACACAGAGGGCAUUCUAGGAGGUGUGAACUGGUGACUCACUUACUAGGAAGUAUUGUUCCAAGCUCCGGGUCAGAAGAAGUUGAGGGUAGCCUACAAGGAAGUAUCAUCCUCGGGCAGUGUUGCGCCAAGCCCACAGCUUCCGCACGGCCAGGGAUAAGGAACUGUGGGUUUCGAGAAGUUCUGGGGGACCGUUGACACAGGAGGGAGAAGCAGCAGACCAUAACCCCCACACCACAGGCUCAUUCACAGGAAGACAGUCAACUCGGGAGAAAGACACAUGCUCUGAUCAGACAUAAGCUCAAGAACCCACCCUGCAUUUGUCUGCAAGCCAUUUCCUGGUUCUUGGAUGGCAGUGACCUGGAAAUAGGGGCCACAGGGGUCAUGAUUCUAGAAAGGUGCAUGGAGGCAUGCCAAGUUCCACAGCCACGUACGCACUCCACCUGCACAGCCCUUUGUAUGUACCUCUUCACCACGUGGUCUCAUUGUGAGCUGUUUGCAUCAGUCUCUCCUCUGGGCUGUGACCUUGUAGCGUGGAGGUUAGCAAACCAUGGCUCAAAGGCAAAGCUGUCCCACCGCCUGUUUUUGUAAAGGAAGUUUGUUGGAACACAGUCGCGCCCGUUCCUUUUUGUAUGGUCUCUGGCUGCUGUCUCUACAACUGCAGAGUGGAGCAGUUCUCACAGAGACUGGACGGACCACAAAGCCUAAAAUAUUGACCAUCUGUCCCUUUACAGAAAAAGUUUGCCAACCCCCGUUCUAGAAAGCAAGAGCAGGAUCUUGUUCAUCUCCAUAGCCCCAAAGUUAUAGCCAUACUUCCUCUAUAUGUAAAAUAGCAAUGAUACCUCUGUCGUAGACAUGUAGUGAAGUAUAAAGGAGACAUCAUAUUUGGGAAGAACAUAUGUAAAAUACCUAGCCCAGUGCUUGGCACAGGACAGAUACUCAAUAAGUAUUUAGUGAGUAAGUGAACGAGGUUGAAGGUCAAUCCACUCGAAAUGAUGGAUAUGAAAGCACUUCACAAACCGUAAAAUGCUCUAUGAGAGCAUGGUGGGUUAUCAUCAUCAUUGUCAAAUACAGAAAUAUUCUGGAGCAAAGCCUGCCCUCCCCUCCGGCUUCCGGGAUCUUGAUUUUAUGAGUAAGAUCUCACAGACAGUCUUAAUUUAGGCUGAUUCAUAUGCCAUUUUUCCCAUGAUCCUCUCCAUCCCUCUCUCUUGACACCCUCUUCUAGGUAUGGAUCCUUCGCUUAGGUCUUAAGAUCCUUAAAUAAGAGCUACUAAAUAUUGAUUGCUGUGGUGGUUUUGUACUGGACCAGCCUAGCUAAGCUCAGAUGACAUUUCCCAGAUUUCCCUUCUUUCUAUGGCCUUCCUUCCAGUUGGGCACAAGAGAAAUUGGCAUGAGAUUUGGAAGGCAGAGAGAGGGCACAGUGAUUCCACUUGCAGAUCAAGGCAGGACCACAGGGACCCAUCACGGCUCAAGCAUGCACAUUGUCACUGGUCUGCUCGCUCAUCUCUUUGAGGUGGGGAAAGGAGCCCAUUCUGCAGUCUCUCCAGCUUCUGCUGAGUCCUGGGUCAGGCAUGCGUGCAGCUUGAUGGUGGAUGGCACAAGCUUCUUCUGUAGGCUGCCCACAUUGUCAGGGUUAGAUGUGGUGAGAGAAAGACAUGGGUUCUGCAUUGUCCUUGCUCUCUCCUCCUUCAGAUCCAGCUUGUCUUCCUGAGUGGCUGCCCGGCAGCUACCUCAGAACUACCAGGAGGCACAGAAGCAAGAUGCUCCCCCCAAAUUCGUCGCCAGUUGACCUUUGUGAUCCCUGGUUUGUAACUCUUCUCUUCCAGACCUUUACUUCCACAGCUUCUCUCACAAUUGUGUAAAGUCUAAUCCCUAUAAGAAAUGCUUUAUUUUGUAUCAUUGAGAGUGGCUCUGCUUCCCUGAUUAGACCAUGCGGAAGAGACUCUAAAGGAUGAGUUCUCUGAAUUAGUUCUGAAAUUGUUUUCUGGAAUGGAUCCUCUGGUCUGAUUAUAUUUAAAGGAAGUAAUGAUUCUGAUGCUAGUGAUAAAGGGGACACCGGUAGUCCAUGGUAUUCAGAGGCAAAACAGCUACUUAAAUUAUCACCUGUAACUCCUGUAAUUAAGCGCCUAUAGAAGGCAAGACUUUGGAUGACCAAGUAGUUGCUACUGUGGAACAUUUUAGUAAAAAGAAGGAGGAGAAAGGAAUUGGUAGGUAGCUUGUAAGUGUGCUGGAGAACUUAGAGAAAGAAAAUUAUGACCUUAGAGCUUCAAGUCCCCAAUUCAAGGUCUGGCUAAGGAAAACCCAUAGCUGCUAUGGCUACAGGGCCAAGAUUUCUCAAAAUGACACCCAAAGUCUAAUCUUGGGCUGAAGAAUGCAAAUGGAAAUCGUGACCUCGCAGGGUCUCUUGUGUUAGAGCAUUGAUUGGGAAGAAGCGGAACCCUGAAGACGGAGAUAGAGACAUACGGGCAAACUCACAUAAAGCUGGGUUUGGCUCUGAAUUUUGCUGAGGCUCCCUGGCCAGUAGUAGCAGCACUUCCUCCCUCACUGAAGAGCUCAGUCUCCCCUCUUCUGACGAAAAUUGCAUUGGACCUGGACCAGGACCAAGAACCUAAGGGGCCUUGCAGGAAACUCCUGAUUCUCCUCAGGACCUGUCUCUACCCUCUCUCAUCACUUCUAGACCUAUGACUAAACUCAAACUUCAGCAGGCCCCAGAGGUUAUGGAUUAAAAUAUGAUCCAUGUGAAAAUGUCAUCUAUAAUAAAGGAAUUGCAGAGUUUUGUCAAUUUAUAUUCACAGAGAACUGAGGAGCAUGCUUAGAAACGGAUCUUACUGAUGUUGAAUCAGGGUGGAAGGAAUAAAGGGCUGGAUCAGGCCGUGUAUGUCAAUAGAGGUAUGCUGAGCAGAGAUUCUGAACUCAGUGUGUUACUUCAAGUAGCUUAGAGUGGCUCUACCAGUUUUCUCGUUUCAUUGAACUAAAACCUAGGCCUAAUGGUGGCUUAUACCUAGUGUAAUUGAAAUACUAGAACUUUCUUGAUAUAAUGUAGAAGGUAGCCAAAGACUUAAGGAAAUCAGAACUCUGGAGUAGACUUAUUAUAUGAGACUUGCUUACCCACUUUCUAAUUACGUCCCCAGGAGGGACCAGAGGAUAUUCCCUUUACCAAAGCCUUAUGAUAUGGUAUGCAUACCACAAGGUGAGCCCCAGUAUCUUUGAAGAGCCUAGGAUAGCUAAUAACUACAGGCCAGGAAUGACAUUGGUACUGCUGUCAUUGAAAGGGGCCCCACAAAUUCAUGGAGAUUAUGGGAUGUCCGGGUGGCAGAAGCCAAGUGUAAGAUACUUAAUCACCAGAGACAAGGUGGUUACUGUAAUAGACAGCAGAGUCAAAGCAUUAAUCAGAAUGGUUUGACCUGUAGAGAGCUCUUCGGCAUUGGCUAAUUGAUCAUGGUGACCUGAAAACUGAAAUUGAUGGGUGGCCUACUCAAGUCUUACUUGAUUUAUAUAAAUUGAAAAGCUCUAGUUCUGGUGAAUAGAGGUGACUUGAUCACAGUAAAAAUUAUAGCCCCGCAAUCAGUUCCCAGACUCGAACCAGUUCUCAGUGCCAUGGUCAUUUGAGUGAAAGAGAGAGUAGAUCCUGUAAGGAAGGAACUGUUACUCAGCCCAAAAUUUAUACAAUAAAUCUUCUUUAUAGCUUUCCCCAAAGGUACCUGAAGAUAUUUGCCUGUGUGACUUUGUAUUGGUGAAAGGAAAAUUCUGGGCAUUAGCUCUGAACUAAUUUCAAGAGACUGAAAAUGUCCCUGUGUCCACACUUAGAACAGGGUCUUAAGGAGGUCAAGUGAUCCAUGGAGUUUUGUCUUGGGUCCAUCCCAUAGUGGGCUCAGUGUGUCCCCAAAUACCCAGUUCCAGAAUUGACCAUUUUAAGAAAUGACAUACUCAGAAACUAAUAAAUGCUCACAUCAUUUUCCUUAUUCACACAGCAAGGGCUAUUACAAUAGGAAAAGCUAAGUGGAAGCCAGUGGAAUCACUUCUACUUAUAAAAGAUUAAAUUACAGAAAUACCUAUUUCUGGAGGCAUUGCAGAAAUUAGUGCCCCCAUCGUGGACUUGAAAGAUGCAGAGACGGUGAAUCUCACCAUAUCCCCAUUCAGCUUGCUUAUUUGGCCUGAUAAGUGGAUCUUGGAGAAUCACAGUGGAUUAUUAUAAACUUAAUUGGUGACAACUCCAAUUAAAGUUCCUUUUCCACAUGUGGUUUGGUUGCUGAAGAAAAUCAACAUAACCUCUGGCAGCUAUUGGUCCAGCAAAUGCUUUCUUUCUCUAUACCUCUUAAAAAAAGACCACCAGGACCAGUUUGCUUUCAGCUAGCAGGACUGGCAAUAGGCCUUCACUGUCCUGCCUAAGGGCUAUAUUAACCCCCAAAUCUACUGUCAUAAUCGAAUCCAGAGACCUUGACAGCCUUUCCACUCCACGGGAUCUUCUACAGACCUACUGUGCCGAUGAUAUCAUGCUCAUUGUUUCUGGUGAGCAGGAAAUAACAGCUAUUCUGAAGACCUUGGUAAGAAAAAUGCAAGCAGAUGGAGGAAAAGGAAUCUUACAAAAGAUCAGGGACCAGCUA